rnacentral:rRNA from 1 species
AUUGAACGCUGGCGGCAGGCUUAACACAUGCAAGUCGAGCGGGGUGAUGGUGCUUGCACUAUCACUUAGCGGCGGACGGGUGAGUAAUGCUUAGGAAUCUGCCUAUUAGUGGGGGACAACAUCUCGAAAGGGAUGCUAAUACCGCAUACGUCCUACGGGAGAAAGCAGGGGAUCACUUGUGACCUUGAGCUAAUAGAUGAGCCUAAGUCGGAUUAGCUAGUUGGUGGGUUAAUGGCCUACCAAGACGACGAUCUGUAGCGGGUCUGAGAGGAUGAUCCGCCACACUGGGACUGAGACACGGCCCAGACUCCUACGGGAGGCAGCAGUGGGGAAUAUUGGACAAUGGGGGGAACCCUGAUCCAGCCAUGCCGCGUGUGUGAAGAAGGCCUUAUGGUUGUAAAGCACUUUAAGCGAGGAGGAGGCUCUUUUGGUUAAUACCCAAGAUGAGUGGACGUUACUCGCAGAAUAAGCACCGGCUAACUCUGUGCCAGCAGCCGCGGUAA